AGUGGGAUCUGAGGGCAUCUAAAGGGUUCUGGGGUCAUACAGAGGUGUCUGGGGGUCUCUGGGGGAAGCCCUUUGGUGCUCCAAGGGUACCUCUGCAGGGUCCUGAAGGAGUUGAGAGGGACCUGGCAAGGUGCUGCUUGCUGCCAGGUGCUGCUGAGGGGCUUGAGUGGCGUCUGAAGGGGCUUUGGAGGCAGCUAAAGGCCAUCUGGGGGCUCCUAAGGGGAUUCUGAGGGGGCCAAAGGGGAUCUGGGGGUAUCUAAAAUGGGUCUGUGAGUAUCAAGAGGUCUUUUGGGGACAUGUAAAGUGGUCUGGGGGCAUCUAAAGCGGUGGGGCUGGAUCUAAAGUGGGUCUGGAGGCAUCUAAGGGAGAUCUGUGAGUGUGUAGAGGGGUUCUGGGGUCUCUAAAAAGGUCUGGGGCUGUGCUAGAGGCUUCUGGGCUCAUCUGCAGUGAGCCUGGGGGCCCUCAAAAGGGUCUGGGGACAGGUAAAAUGGGCCUGGGGUCAUGCAGCAGGGUUCAGGGGCAUCAGAAGGGGCAUUGUGGGCAUCUAAGUUGGCCUGGGGUCCUCUGGAGGUUGCCUCCCUCUUUCUGUCUCUGUUGUUUGUGCCUGGGUGAGAGUUCUCUGCUGUGUUUGUUCUCUCUUUUUGCAGGGAGCUGAACUGCUUUGCCCCAGCCCAGCUGCAGAUCUGCACUCAGCCUCAGCCCCAAGCCCUGGCAGGGUGGGAUGCUUUGGUCCCAGGCCGUGGAGCUGUUUGAAAUGCAAUUGCUGCUUGCAGCUGGUUCAGAAAUGGAUUUCCUGUGGCUGUGGGGGCAGAAAUGUCUCUGUGCACACGCUCAGAGGACAGGUCCCUGGAUUGCAGUGCUGCUCCAAUGGCCUGUGGUGGCUGCAGGCAGCCGCGGCCCGGGGAGCCCAAGACUCAGCGUGUGGAAGGGUUGGGAGCAGCCCUGGGUGCCUGCAAGGAUUCGGGAGGCCCGAGCAGGUCUGAAACCCUGCCACGGAGAGGCACAGGCCCCGCAGCAGUGCCUGCAUUUCAGCAGCUGCCCAUCGGAGCUAAGCACAGCCUCGGCUCAGAGGUUUGCACUUUGCUUUCCACUCCACUGGCCAAGCCAGCCAGAUGUGCAGCAGCAGCAGGAUGGGCACGAGGGCCCCAGCUGCUGCGGUGAAUCCGUCAGCACGGACGCUGGUGCCGCUGCAGCCUGGCCCUGCAGCCUGGCAGGGUGAUCUCCUUUGGCUCAGCUCCUGCGGGCUCCAGGUAGGGUUUGUCUGUGUCUGCCAGGAGGGAAGGGUUGAAAAGGAGAUUGCUCAGUCAGAGCUCUGACCUAGUAGCUGAAGAUUCUGUCCAGUGCAGAUGCUGACAGAGCAGCUGGAUGAGCAGAAAGCCUCUCGUGCAAACGGCUGUGGAGUGCUUCUCUCUGUUCCCUGCUGCUGGGAGGUGCUGACAGGUUAGGGUUUGCAGGGAGGCAGAUCUCGCGGAGAAGGGCUGAACUCACUGUGCAAGGACACUGCACAAUCCAGUGUGGAUCAAAAGCGAGUGACAACUUUAUUUAGUAGCCACACGCUUAUAUGUGUUACAGAUAAUUUAUGCAUACAUGUAAGAAGCUAAAUGGCUGAAUCCCUAAAUACCCCAUUUGCUCUGCUUGAGUUGUCUGCUGACUCGUCAAGGACAGUGCCUCCCUGGCUAGUUAUAUUAAAUGCUGCCUUUGUUUAUUCAAUAUGUCUUUGUUUCUGUGUGGCCUAGCACAGCCUUAAUUUAGUUCCAUAUACUCAUCCUGCUUGCCCACUUCUAAGUCAUGUCCAUUUUCCUUUAGCCGUUCUGCAACAAGGGUUAGUGGAGGGGUGUGAAGAAUUUGCAGGGAUCUCUAAGGGUCUGCAGACACCUUUGAAAGGUCUGAAGUUGUCUGUAGAUGUCUCUAGGGUGCUGCAGGGGUCUGCAGGCACCUCUUAAAUGUCUGGAGGGGUCUGUAGCUGUCUGUAGAGGUCUCUAGAGCUUUGUAGAGGAAUGUGGGUGCCUGCAGCUGUCUCUAGGGGGGUGUGGAGGUCUGCAGGCACCUUUCAAAUGUCUGGAGGGGUCUGCAGAGCUCUGUCAGGGUCUGUAGAUUUUGGCAGGGUUCUGUAGGAGUCUCUGGGCAGCUUUUAAAGGUGUGAAGGGGUCUGUAGCUAUUUGUCAGGGUCUGAGAGAGUCUGCAGAGGUCUGUAGAGUUGAGUAGGUGUUUGGAGGUUUCUGUGUGGGUCUGUAGGUGCCUGCAGGCAUCAGUGAAGGCUCUGGAGGGGUCUGUAGAUGUGUGCAGGGGUCUGUUAAAUAUCUGGAGGGGUCUGGAUGGGUGUGGGGAGCUCUGUAGGGGUCUGUAUGUGUUUGCAGGCACCUGCAGGGGUCCGUAGAUGCCUGUAGGGAUUUGCAGGGCUCUGUUAGUUCUCUGUAGAGGUCUGCCUGGGUCUGGAGGUGCCUUUUAAUGGGUCUGUGGAGGUCUGGAGGGCUCUGCAGUGGGCUGCAGUGGUCUGUUAAAGGUGUGGAGGGGUCUGUAGGUGUCUGCAUUCAGUGAAGGAGUUCUUUGGCUCCAGGACACUUUUGUCCAGUGUCUCUAGAGUGUGACUGUCCCAAAUGAGAUAGAGGUGCACUGGCAGCGUGUUUGCAGAUGGCCCCAAGCUGAGUGGUGCUGGAGAGCAAGCCGAGGGGCAGGAUGGCAUCCAGGAAACACCUGGGCAGGCAGGGGAGCUGGGCCCAGGCGAAGCUUGUGAGGUUCCAGGAGAGCAAGGGCAGGGUGCUGCGUGUGGGCGGGAGGAAGCCUGCCUGUGCCUGCGGGCUGGGGGCGGAGGCGAUAAAGAGCAGCCCUGGGGGUGCUGGGGAGAAGCUGAGUGCGAGCACAUGGUGUGAGCUUGCAGGCCAGGAGGAGCCUGUCAGUGUCUGCAGGGGUGUGCAAGCAGCUGUAGGAGUCUGCCCAGGUCUGUAGGUGUCUGCAGGGGUCUUCUAAAAGGCCUGGAGGCUUUUCUGAGUGUGCAGAGGUGUGCGGGGGUCUGGAGGCAUCUGUAGGUACCCUUAGGGGCCUGGAGGGCUCUCUGGAAGUCUGUGGAGCUCUCUGGGUGUCUGUGGAGGUGGUUAGGGGUCUGUAGAGGUGUCUGUGGUGCUGUAGGUGUCUCAAAAGGCUGUGAAGGUCUUGAGGUGCCUUGCAAAGGUCUCGAGGUGUCUGUAGAGGUCUGUAGGGGUCUGCAGGGCUCUAUGGAAAGGUCGGGAGGGGUCCCUAGAGGUCUCUAGGAGGCUGGAGGGGUGUGCAAGUGUCUGUAGCAUUCAGCAGGUGUGUGGAGGUUUCUGUUCUGGGCCCGCAGGUGUCUGCAGGCAUCUUGUAAAGGUCUGCAGGGGUCUGUGGAGCUCUGUCAGGCAUCUGUUAAGUGUCUGCAGGAAUCCAUUGAAGGUGUGGAGGGGGCUGCAGGGCUCUGCAGAGGAGGCUGUGGCUGUGUGUAGAGGUCUUAGGGGUGUGAAGAGUUUGCAGGGGUCUGUAAGGGUCUGCAGAGCCCUUGGAAAGGUCUGAAGUUGUCUGUAGGAGUCUGGAGAUGUCUCUAGGGCACUGCAGGGCUCUGCAGGGGUCUGCUGCUGCGGGAGGAGUGGGCUGGCGGAGCCACGCCCCCCGGGCUGCGGAGCCACGCCCCCUCCCUGGCCUUUCUUGCCUGGCUCUGGUUGCUGCCUCUUUAUUUGCAUAACCACACCCCCUUUCCGUAGCCACGCCCCCUCCCCAUGCUGCGCCUGGCCCCGCCCUCUCGGCCCGCCCCCGCCCCACAGUAACUAAUUAUAUGGUGACAGAUUUGGAGCUUCCUUUGGAGGAGUAGUUCAGGAGGUGGCUGCUGAUUGGUGGAUUGUGAUGGGCGUGGUUUGCCGCUUGUUCUGCCUCCCUCAUUUGCAUACAUUUCAAUAUCAGGCUCUGCCUUUGAGUACCUUGAAGAUGUGUUGGGGGUUGGGGAGGGGUUACCAGGAGGGUCAGCAGCUGAUUGGUGGAUCCUGUGGGGGCUGUGGGCAUGGUCACCCCUGUGCCCCGCCCCCUCAUUUGCAUAAACGAAGGCAGGGUCCACCUGGCGGAGUUUGGUGCUUUAUUGGGCGGGGGGAACUGGUUAGGACGGGGAGGGUCAGCAGCUGAUUGGUGCGUCCUCUGGCGUGGGCGGGGCCUGCCCCUGCCCCGCCCCUCCGAAGUGCUCGAUGGUCUCCAGCACAGCCCCAGCAGCUCCAGGAAGGAGGAGACCUCCCCCCGCAGGCCUCCAGCCCCCCGGGAGACCCAGAGCCUGCGGGGGGAGGGCUCAGGGACCCCCAGACCCUCCCAGGGACCUCCAAUAACCUCCCAGGGACCUCUGAUGACCUCUCGGGGACCCCCAGACCCUCCCAGGGACCCUCAGACCCUCCUAGGGACCACCCAGGGACCCGCAGACCCGCCCACUGGCCUCCCAGAGACCCCCACUCACCUCCUUGUAUGCCCCCACUAAUCCCCCAGCCCCUCCCCGUCCCCGCCCAGCGCCCCCCAGUGCCCACUCAGGCCCUCAGCUUGUCCCCGCAGCACUGCAGCCUGGCCUGGGGGCGCUGCUGAGGCCUCCCCCAGGGCCGGGCUGGGGGCUGCAGGCCUGGGCCCAGCGCCCUCAGUGCCACCUGUGCCAGGCCAGCAGGCAGCGGCAGCAGCACCUCCCUGGCAGGGCAGGUCAAGGAGCCUCGGGGGAGGGACCCCAGCACCCCCCAGCGUCCCCCCAGUCCCCUCCCACUGCUCCCAGUCCCCCCCAGGCACCCCUGGGACUCUCUACGGCACCCACAGACCCUUCCCCUCCCCCCCCAGCCACCUCUGACCCCCGUCAAAACCUCACCCGGGGACCCCCAUGACACCCCCAGACCCUCCCUCUGCUCCACUGCCCCCUCCCCCCAGCCACCUCGGACCCUUCCCAAGGCGCCCCCAAACCCCCCCAACCCCGGGGCCGCCUACAACACCCCCAGACCCUCCGCCUACCCCCUGCAGCCACUUCGCCCCCCCCCAAAAUCCCCCUGCGACCCCCCCAAGCACCCCUGGCAACCACUGACUCAUCCCCAGACCCUCCCCCCACUGCUCGCCCCCCCCAGCCACCUCAUCCCCCCCCCUGGGACUCCUCAAACCCCCCUGGGGCCCCCCCGAAGCCCCUCUGGGACUCUCCAAAACCCCCCAGCCCCUUUCCCCGCUCCCCCCCAAGCCCUCUCGGACCCCUCCCGGGACCCCCCAACUCCGCCUAAGACCCCCCCGGGGCUGGGUACAGCCGCAGCAGCUCGCUCCGCGCCGCCAUCUUGCCUCCGUGCCGUCACUUCCGGCUGGCAGGCGACGCUCUGGGCUCUCCUCUCGCUGGUCAAAGCCGCUCUAGGCCUCCGAGGUCCUCCAGGCGCCACUGCGAGCGGCUCCGGGCCAAAGCAAUGACUGUGCUCAGCUGCAGGGAUGGAUUUGCCUGCACUCAAGCUGCUGCUGCCAGAGCCCCUCCGUGUCAAUCUGUGCUGCCGUUGGGUUCUGCAGCUCUCUCCAGCAAGCAUGGCAUGAGCUGAAGGAGCAGCAGGAGCAGCAUGGCCGUUCCCCAGGCAGCAGGAGGGUUCAGCCCAGCACCAGCUCAUGCGGGAGGAGCAGAUGCUGAGGAACAUCCCCCACGAGACGCAGGUGGCCAAAGAGGCUGGGUCAGGUGCCAAAAAGGAGACCUUCUUCACCUGCUUCUCCUGUGCAAGCUCUUCUGUCUGUCUGCUGAGAUGUUUCUGCCUGUUUCUCUGGCAGAGAAGUGUUUGCUUUUUUGGCUGGCGAGCUGACCAUCCGUACUACCGUCGCCUUGAAUGCCUCCAACCAGCAGUGUUUGCUGCCAGACAGACACCUGGAGAAGACAGAGGACAUGGUUAAGUUCAUGAAGGAUAUCUUGGAUGGUGCUGCUGAAGCACAGGCUGGUGAUGGACUUCUGCAACGAAGCAAGAGAGUCAUCUAUGAGGCCAAGGCUGCUGUAAUGAAAGCAGGAGUCAGCCACCUGCCACCCAUCCCCUCCUGACCCCAACCCCAGAAACCCAAAGCAGCACUUGGCACAGGAGGUCUCUCGUGUUGCAGUCUCAACUUCAAGCCCUGGAAUACUUUGCUUCAGCCAGCAGCAUGGGGUUGGAUACCAACAGCAGAGUCGACUUAACCUGUGACUAAGUGAACUUUAAGUGUUCUGACUCCACAGUGGAACCUGAUAAAGAAAGAUGUGAAUGGAA